CCUACGGGAGGCAGCAGUGAGGAAUAUUGGUCAAUGGGCGCGAGCCUGAACCAGCCAAGUAGCGUGAAGGAUGAAGGCCCUACGGGGUGUAAACUUCUUUUAUAAAGGAAUAAAGUGAGGCACGUGUGCCGUUUUGUAUGUACUUUAUGAAUAAGGAUCGGCUAACUCCGUGCCAGCAGCCGCGGUAAUACGGAGGAUCCGAGCGUUAUCCGGAUUUAUUGGGUUUAAAGGGAGCGUAGAUGGGUUGUUACGUCAGUUGUGAAAGUUUGCGGCUCAACCGUAAAAUUGCAAUUGAUACUGGCAGCCUUGUGUACAGUUGCGUUAGGCGGACUUCGUUGUGUAGCGGUGCACUGCUUCGAUCUCACG
rnacentral:rRNA from 1 species